UACGAGGGGGGCAAGUGUUGUUCGGAAUCACUGGGCGUAAAGGGAGCGUAGGCGGGCUCUUAAGUUGGAUGUUUAAAACCGGGGCCCAACCCCGGCGUGGCAUCCAAAACUGGGAGUCUUGAAUGGAACAGAGGCUAGUGGAAUUGGAGGUGUAGCGGUGGAAUGCGUAGAGAUCUCCAAGAACACCCGUUGCGAAGGCGGCUAGCUGGGUUCACAUUGACGCUGAGGUGCGAAAGCGUGGGGAGCAAACAGG
rnacentral:rRNA from 1 species